UACAGAGGUCUCAAGCGUUGUUCGGAUUCAUUGGGCGUAAAGGGUGCGUAGGUGGCGCCGUAAGUCAGGUGUGAAAUUUCGGAGCUUAACUCCGAAACUGCAUUUGAUACUGCGGUGCUUGAGGACUGGAGAGGAGACUGGAAUUUACGGUGUAGCAGUGAAAUGCGUAGAGAUCGUAGGAAGACCAGUGGCGAAGGCGAAUCCCUGGAAAAUACCUGACACUGAGGCACGAAAGCUAGGGGAGCAAACAGG
rnacentral:rRNA from 1 species